GUCAGAGAAAGAUUUGUCUGUUUCUGAGGGUGGCCAGGGUUGUUUUUGGAGCUUUGAUUUUAGCAAUGGCAGAAACAAUCUGGAAGCCUCUGUGGAUUUUGUUACUGGUGCUGAGUUAUGCUGUGCAUGGUGAUGCAGGAAGUGUUUACAGACAUUAUUGUACAUAAGAUGGUGCUCAGGAUGGGAGCACUGAGAGGACUACUGUUCAGGCAAACGCUGAUUCUGGAUUUGGGCCUAGUCAAGAACUUUAUUUUCAGGAAACCCAAGACUCCUCGGAAACUGAGGCCUUUGAUUCUAGUGUGACUGAUGUGGGCUCAAGUGACUCAAGGGCAUUCAGCUUUCAGGAAUCUACCUACACCUCAAGCUUUCAGCCAUUAACUAGAGUUCCUAAGCCUGCCUUAAGCACCUCCUUAGAACAAGCCUCAGGCCAGUCUGUCCAGACAGCAUACCAGCAGGCAGCUUCAGCCCAGCCUGUGCAGGGUAGUUCUCCAUCCAGCUUUGUUUCUCAAAAUAUCGGACUUGAUUCUAGUGCAGCAACGGGAACAGGCUCAAGGGGGUCCUUCUUCACAUCCAGCUUUAAGCCCUCUGCUAGCACUUCAAAGCCAGU